ACAUUUCGAUUUCAGAUGUCAUUCAUAUAGGCAUAGUACUAGAGCCGAUUUACGCAAUCGAAUACCGCCGGAAGUAGAACAUUUAUGUUAACACCGGUUUCGUAUUUUCACGUGAAAACGGCCGAAAACUGAGAGGUUAUCAACAAAUUAUAAGUUUACGGGUACCAUGAGGAUUUUUCAUGCAUUUAAACGAAAGAAGUACAAGCGAACCGAUGACACAUUAAAGUGGCUGCAGAAGCUUGAAAAGUUAGAUAGAGCAGGGGCAGUCAAAACAGUGGAAUAAUACUUCUAUGUAAUUUCUUUUUAAGGGCAAUCUAUACAGGAUGGAAGGGUAUCUCAUGCAAUGUUUUACAAUUUACAUGUAGUUUUAUCUCUCUUUAUGAUGUUGAGAGUAAACAAGUCAGUGACAUCUAAUUAACACUUCAAGUGUUGUAAACUAUUGACAGUUGAUAUAUAUAUAUAUUAGACAACAUUUGAUAAAAUGCAACUGCAUAUCAAUAUUAAAAAGAGCAAACAGUUGACAAUUAACAGGCAGGUCAUUCUUUUAAAUGACACCAUAAAUAAACUUUCAUAAUUUGUUUUUCUUCAACUUCUGGAUUUAGACUGGAAUCCAUUCCGAACUAUGAACUGGUAAAUUAUAUAAGGAGUCAUGUAAUGAUUAUGGAUGGGAUACAUUAUACCUUUAUGGACAAUAAUAAUUUGAAAUAAUAAUAUUUUUUAAGAUCAAGGUGUUAAGGUGAUUUUAUAAAGAUGGUGUUAUGGUUUUUGCAUGAUGAUUGUUAACUGUUCAAAGAUUUUAUCAUUUAUAUAUUUCAGGGUGUCCAACAUGUCUAGUCAGGUUGAUAGAAGUGAAAGAUGGUCUGAUGGUACAAUGAUGUAACAAGUUUAACAUGUCAAGGGUAAUAUAAUGCCAGUUAUUAAAAUUACAUUCCCCUAAACAUUUAACAGAUAAACAUUGUAAAUAUCAUUAAAAUGAUUUUAUGAAGUUUAUGAAGUUUCAUGAAGGAUGGUACAGCCAACCAUUUUGAAUCAAGAAAUUUUGACUUAGGUAAAGAUAUCUAUUCAGACCUCUUAACUCUUAGCAUUUCAUAUGAUACAGAGAUAAAAGAACUACUAUUGUCAGCCACUAACCAUGUUUCAAAGCUUUUAAAUACACUAUAGCAUUAACAAUUUUGUUUAAAUAUCUUUUUAAUGCAAUGUUUUCUUGAUAUCUGUCACUUGAUGUUUUCAAUGGAUUAGAGUCCUAACUUAAUGUAAAAUCUGUAAAUUUCAGUAACUGAAUUACAAAAUUUGUAGGAAGUUGUUUCUUUAUUUCAGUGUAAAAUGUUCUGUGGAUUCAUAUGAUGAGAAUGCCAGUGUUGAUCUGUAUGACUUAAUCAAACACAGAUAUUGAUACCUUCAGAUAUAUACCUGUGAAAUAUUCAGUGUCACCGUUCAGCUAUUGUUCAAGAUCAGAGUCUGCAGCUUGCACAGUUUAGUAUAGAGGAGCCUUCUGAAUAAACUUUGUUACAUAUUUGCUGUUAUUGUAGGACACACAUGUAGAGAGCAGCUAGUCCUGACCAGCCGUGCAUGUAAACGUGAUUCAGAAACUUUGAGAAUAUGUAAACAUUACACUGUUAUAAUUUUCAAAAUACUGUGUCUUGUAUUGUAUCAAUACUAUUUUGUCUCACUUUAUAGCACAGUAUGUUCACAAAUCAAACUUAAGACCAUAGUGAUCAGUAUUAUUAAAAUCAUUAAUUAUUUGUAUGGUGACAAGAUUUAAUUUCAUGCAAUACCACAGUAAAACGUUUGAUAAUUUUCGC
rnacentral:lncRNA from 1 species